GCGGGUGUAGCUCAGUUGGUUAGAGUGCCGGCCUGUCACGCCGGAGGUCGCGGGUUCGAG
rnacentral:tRNA from 1 species